rnacentral:rRNA from 1 species
UACGGAGGGUGCAAGCAUCAAUCGGAUUUAUUGGGCGUAAAGGGCGCGUAGGCGGGGAUAUAAGUCAGAUGUGAAAUCCCGAGGCUCAACCUCGGAACAGCAUUUGAAACUGCAUCCCUUGAGGAUAGACGGAGAAAACGGAAUUCCACAUGUAGCGGUGAAAUGCGUAGAUAUGUGGAAGAACAUCGGUGGCGAAGGCGGUUUUCUAGUUUAUUCCUGACGCUGAGGCGCGAAAGCAAGGGGAUCAAACAGG